rnacentral:rRNA from 1 species
GACAGAGGAUGCAAACGUUAUCCGGAAUGAUUGGGCGUAAAGCGUCUGUAGGUGGCUUUUCAAGUCCGCCGUCAAAUCCCAGGGCUCAACCCUGGAUAGGCGGUGGAAACUACCAAGCUGGAGUACGGUAGGGGUAGAGGGAAUUUCCAGUGGAGCGGUGAAAUGCAUUGAGAUCGGAAAGAACACCAACGGCGAAAGCACUCUGCUGGGCCGACACUGACACUGAGAGAUGAAAGCUAGGGGAGCAAAUAGG